CUACGGGUUGCAGCAGUCGAGAAUCUUCCGCAAUGCACGAAAGUGUGACGGAGCGACGCCGCGUGAUUGAUGAAGUCCUUAGGGACGUAAAGGUCUUUUCUGAAGGAGGAAGUAUAUUGACGUUACUUCAGGAAUAAGGGGUUCCUAAACUCGUGCCAGCAGGAGCGGUAAUACGAGUGCCCCAAGCAUUAUCCGGAAUCAUUGGGCGUAAAGGGUGCGUAGGCGGGUGUAUUAGUCUUUUGUUAAAGUUACCGGCUUAACUGGGAGUCUGCAAGAGAAACGGUACAACUAGAGGAUGUGAGAGGUGUGUGGAACUCAUGGAGUAGGGGUGAAAUCCGUUGAUAUCAUGGGGAACACCAAAUGCGAAGGCAACACACUGGCACAUUCCUGACGCUGAGGCACGAAAGCGUGGGUAGCGAAUGGGAUUAGAUACCCUCGUAGUC
rnacentral:rRNA from 1 species